rnacentral:rRNA from 1 species
UGGGGAAUAUUGGGCAAUGGGCGCGAGCCUGACCCAGCAACGCCGCGUGAAGGAAGAAGGCUUUCGGGUUGUAAACUUCUCUUCUCAGGGACGAACAGAUGACGGUACCUGAGGAAUAAGCCACGGCUAACUACGUGCC